CAGCCGCCACGGUAAUACAGAGGGUGCGAGCGUUAAUCGGAUUUACUGGGCGUAAAGCGUGCGUAGGCGGCUUCUUAAGUCGGAUGUGAAAUCCCUGAGCUUAACUUAGGAAUUGCAUUCGAUACUGGGAAGCUAGAGUAUGGGAGAGGAUGGUAGAAUUCCAGGUGUAGCGGUGAAAUGCGUAGAGAUCUGGAGGAAUACCGAUGGCGAAGGCAGCCAUCUGGCCUAAUACUGACGCUGAGGUACGAAAGCAUGGGGAGCAAACAGGAUUAGAGACCCCAGUAGUCCCUGUCUCUUAUAU
rnacentral:rRNA from 1 species